rnacentral:rRNA from 1 species
GAUGAACGCUGGCGGCGUGCCUAAUACAUGCAAGUCGAGCGAACGGACGAGAAGCUUGCUUCUCUGAUGUUAGCGGCGGACGGGUGAGUAACACGUGGAUAACCUACCUAUAAGACUGGGAUAACUUCGGGAAACCGGAGCUAAUACCGGAUAAUAUUUUGAACCGCAUGGUUCAGAAGUGAAAGACGGUCUUGCUGUCACUUAUAGAUGGAUCCGCGCUGCAUUAGCUAGUUGGUAAGGUAACGGCUUACCAAGGCAACGAUGCAUAGCCGACCUGAGGGGGUGAUCGGCCACACUGGAACUGGGACACGGUCCAGACUCCUACGGGAGGCAGCAGUAGGGAAUCUUCCGCAAUGGGCGAAAGCCUGACGGAGCAACGCCGCGUGAGUGAUGAAGGUCUUCGGAUCGUAAAACUCUGUUAUUAGGGAAGAACAUAUGUGUAAGUAACUGUGCACAUCUUGACGGUACCUAAUCAGAAAGCCACGGCUAACUACGUG